GUGUUAGGGGGAGCUCCUAUACCACUGUGGUUAGGGUAGAAAGGACUCGCCCCUUCAGGCAGGAGACCCCUCCCACCUGAGUGUAAUGGGGAGCUCAUAUACCAUCCCAGGCAGGGUAGAGGUGACUUAUCCCUAAAGGUGAGAGUCCCCUCCACCUGGGUGUCCUGGGGGGUGCUUCUAUACAGCUGCAGGCAGGGUAGCAGGGACUCAAAAUCCCAGGCAGAACACCACUUUCACCUGGAUGUCCAGGGGAGUGCCUGUCCUGCAGCAGCCAUGGUAGAGGGGAAUCUCCUGUCCAGGCAAGAGUCCCCUCCCACUGGAUGGUCAGGGGGAAUUCAUAUACCUCCGCAGCCCAGGUAUAGGGGACUUACCCCUCUAGGCCAGAGACCAUCCCACAUUGGUGAAUGAGGGAGCUCCUAUACUGCUACAGUCAGGGUAGAGGGGACUCGCCCCUCUAGGCCAGAGACACUCCCACCUGGAUGUCAGGGGAGCUCCUUUACUGCCACAGCCAGUGUAGAGGGAACUCAUGCCUCCAGGCGGGAGACCCCCUCCUUCCUGGGUGUCUGGGAGCCUCUAUACUGCAUUAGCCAGUGUCUAGGGUACUCUCUCCUCCAGGCAGGAGACCCCUCACAUCUUGCUGUGGGAGGUUACUCGUAUACCUCUGCAGCCAGGAGAGAGGGUACUCACCCCACUAGGUGGGAAACCCCUAAACCCUGGUUGUCAGGGGUUCUUAUAUACCGGCAGAGGCAGGGAACAGGAGACUCACCAUUUCAGGUGAGAGAGCCCUCCCACCUGAGGGUGUGAGGUGGAGCUCUUAUACCAUUAUAGUUAGGGUAGUGGGGACUCCACCCUCCAGAAAACAAACCCCCUCCCACCUCGGUGUUGUGCUGGAGCUUGUAUAGAACCUUAGCCAUGGUAGAGAGGUCUUGCCACUUCAGAUGAGAGACCUCUUCCACCAGGGUGUCUGGGGGGAGCUCCUAUACCAUCAAAGCCAGGGUAUAGGGUAUGUGUCACUCCGGUUGGGAGAUCCAUCCCACCUGGCUGUUAAAGGGCAGUCUUAUACAGUUGUAGCCAGGGUACAAGUGACUCACCCCUCCAGGCUGGAGAUGCCUCCCACCUGGGUUUGGACGGAUCUAAAAUACCUUGGCAGACAGGGUAGGGGAAACUCGCCCCUCCAGGCUGGAGACCGGUCCUGCUUGGGUGUCAGGGAGGGGGAGCUCUUAUACCACUGCAGCCAGGAUAGUGGGGACUCAC
rnacentral:lncRNA from 1 species